CACAUCUCCCUGCUUGUAGCAGGCUGAUGAGUGUGUGCAGUUAGUGCAGGCACACACAUACUUCUGCGCUUUCCCUGGAAGUGGAGCAUUAGCAACUGCAGUCAGAACGCACCGUUGCUUCUUCAGCUCUGAUCUGAGCAGCAACUGUCGAAUUCUGUCUGGAGGAGAUAGGAGACAGCACUGGAGUCCCAUCUGUAGUGCACGUUCUUGAGAAGUGGCUGGCUGGCAAGGAAGGAGCACACUGCUGAAGAGGCUGGGCUUUCUAGUUGAGUUUGAACUGUAGCCUGUAGGGCUACCAGCAAUGGAAUAUCUGACACACUGGUGAUUAAAAGUUCUAUAAUUUCAUCUUACAGAGAAAUCUGGCUCAAUAAAGCAUUCCAUUCCUUUGGACACAUUGACUCUCUUAAUAGCAGAAACAACAUGAUCAGAGGAGGUCUACAAACAUUUCACACUUCAUGUGGUAUAAGCCAUAAACUUAUCUUUACAAAUACUGUCUUGAAUUAAUGGACAUUUAUAUUAAUCUCCUUUUGACCAUGGCAAGGAGCAACUGAUAAUCAUCACUAGCUUGUAGCUGUUGCCUGCUCCUUUCUUUUAGGAUGUGUGUGCAUUCUUACCUCUUUAAAAAUAAAGUUGCGUCUUCCUUUUCAUGUGUUUUACAUGGUUUGAUAUUCUUGACCCUUUGAAUUUCAGAGGAUUCUUUCCAUUACCUGAAUCUGUUGGGGUUUCCAUUUUGACAGUCAUUCUUAAAAGAAACAAUAAAGAAUUUUGUGUUACUGAAAUUAACAGUACAUUAUCUCCAGUACAGUAACGACAGCAGCAUGACAACUUGCAAAUUAAUGGUAAAAUAGAUUAUCACCCUUUCACACUCAUUUUUGAAAUAUUUUGCAACAUUAUUUCUUUGUAUAAUACAAAGUCUGGAAUGUGUUAAACAGCAGAAUAAUUUAUUGCUAUUUUCCACAGAUGGGAUAUUUUAUAGAGGUUCACAAGCUUUCUAUACCUUGUCAAACACGUGAGGAAUACUUGAUAAACCAUUUUAAAAAGUGUUGCAGAUGCUAUCAGCCAUUAGUAGAAUCAAAAAUGCUGAUUCUGGCCAUGUUUGUUAAGACAGAUGUUGAUGGCUCUGCUACACAAUCUUUGCAAGCUUUCUUUUGUAGGUCAGUUUGUGCAUCCUUUACAAGAUGUAUUCUCCCAUGGUUCUUUUGCUCAAUUAUUUUAGUAUAAGGAUCUUAAUACUAGUUGUACUUCACUGUCUUAUACUGGUGCUCAGAGGUUUCCAUCAGAGAUGGACUUUACGAUACAAUAAAUGCUGUGUGCAUUUUACUACAGGUUGUAAAGAGCUUAUUUGCUAAGGACAUCAUGAUGUAGAGGUGAAAAAAUGUCAUGAGGCUCUUGUAACCACUUACACCACCAGAAUUCAUUGUUUGGAAAGCAGUGUCCUUCCUCUAAUACAAAAUAAAACAUUUUUCGUUUUCUUUUUUUUUUUUUCUAUCACAAGGGACAAGCAAACAAUAAUAAAUUAUUCUCACAUCCUU
rnacentral:lncRNA from 1 species